rnacentral:rRNA from 1 species
UUAAUGAGAGUUUGAUCCUGGCUCAGGACGAACGCUGGCGGCGUGCCUAAUACAUGCAAGUAGAACGCUGAGGACUGGUGCUUGCACCGGUCCAAGGAGUUGCGAACGGGUGAGUAACGCGUAGGUAACCUACCUCAUAGCGGGGGAUAACUAUUGGAAACGAUAGCUAAUACCGCAUAAAAGUGUUUAACCCAUGUUAAACAUUUAAAAGGUGCAACUGCAUCACUAUGAGAUGGACCUGCGUUGUAUUAGCUAGUUGGUGAGGUAACGGCUCACCAAGGCGACGAUACAUAGCCGACCUGAGAGGGUGAUCGGCCACACUGGGACUGAGACACGGCCCAGACUCCUACGGGAGGCAGCAGUAGGGAAUCUUCGGCAAUGGACGGAAGUCUGACCGAGCAACGCCGCGUGAGUGAAGAAGGUUUUCGGAUCGUAAAGCUCUGUUGUUAGAGAAGAAUGAUGGUGGGAGUGGAAAAUCCACCAUGUGACGGUAACUAACCAGAAAGGGACGGCUAACUACGUGCCAGCAGCCGCGGUAAUACGUAGGUCCCGAGCGUUGUCCGGAUUUAUUGGGCGUAAAGCGAGCGCAGGCGGUUCUUUAAGUCUGAAGUUAAAGGCAGUGGCUCAACCAUUGUACGCUUUGGAAACUGGAGAACUUGAGUGCAGAAGGGGAGAGUGGAAUUCCAUGUGUAGCGGUGAAAUGCGUAGAUAUAUGGAGGAACACCGGUGGCGAAAGCGGCUCUCUGGUCUGUAACUGACGCUGAGGCUCGAAAGCGUGGGGAGCAAACAGGAUUAGAUACCCUGGUAGUCCACGCCGUAAACGAUGAGUGCUAGGUGUUAGGCCCUUUCCGGGGCUUAGUGCCGGAGCUAACGCAUUAAGCACUCCGCCUGGGGAGUACGACCGCAAGGUUGAAACUCAAAGGAAUUGACGGGGGCCCGCACAAGCGGGGGAGCAUGUGG